rnacentral:rRNA from 1 species
AUUGAACGCUGGCGGCAUGCUUUACACAUGCAAGUCGAACGGCAGCGCGGGCUUCGGCCUGGCGGCGAUUGGCGAACGGGUGAGUAAUACAUCGGAACGUGCCCAGUAGUGGGGGAUAGCUCGGCGAAAGCCGGAUUAAUACCGCAUACGACCUGAGGGUGAAAGCGGGGGAUCUUCGGACCUCGCGCUAUUAGAGCGGCCGAUGGCAGAUUAGCUAGUUGGUGGGGUAAAGGCCUACCAAGGCGACGAUCUGUAGCUGGUCUGAGAGGACGACCAGCCACACUGGGACUGAGACACGGCCCAGACUCCUACGGGAGGAAGCAGUGGGGAAUUUUGGACAAUGGGCGAAAGCCUGAUCCAGCAAUGCCGCGUGUGUGAUGAAGGCCUUCGGGUUGUAAAGCACUUUUGGCGGGAACGAAAAGGACUGUGCCAAUACCACGGUUCGAUGACGGUACCCGCAGAAUAAGCACCGGCUAACUCCGUG